CAGGCUGCUUUUAACUUUUAACUUUUUAUAUUUUGAAAGUUUUAUUCCUCGGAUGCUUCAAAACACUCUAUUUCUUCUCUCUCUAGCCCUCUUCCUCUCUCUCUCUCUUUCUAACUCUUUGUCAAAGUCGAACUCUCCUAAGAUCUGGCAUCUUCUGAAGUUCCUUGCCCACAUCUCUUAUCUUCUCUGAGUUUUAUCACACUGCCAAGUAUUUUCAUAAUACUUGUUUAUUUCUAGGUUGAAGAGAACAUUUGCAAACUCGUGAAGAAGGGUUUGACACCUUCUCAGAUUGGUGUGAUUCUUCGUGAUUCCCACAGUAUUGCUCAGGUCAAGAGUGUUACCGGUAGCAAGAUCUUGCAUAGUCUCCAGGCUCAUGGUGCAAGGCUAUUACUUCAAAGAAUUUCUAUCUGUUGUGUCUUAUAGAUGUGUUUGUUGCUUUUUAUGAUAUUUGGUUGGUGGUCUAACAUUAUGAUAAUAGUAAUGUACUUAAUAUUUUAAGUUAGAUAAUAUUUUAAUAAUACACUUAAUGUUUAUUGAUUGCUAGUUACAUUUAAUGUUUAAUGUUUAGUGUGCAAUUUUAGUGUUUGUUGAGGGAUAAAUGGAAUAUGGCUUGUUGAGGUAGUGAGCUUUGCAUGGCAUAUUGUGAGAAUGAGAUUGUUGUUUCAUGGAAUGAGAAGUGUGGAAGAAGACAAUAUUUAAAUUAAUUUUCAUUUUUAUGGAUUGUUAAUUUAUUUAA